UACGUAGGGUGCGAGCGUUAAUCGGAAUUCCUGGGCGUAAAGCGUGCGCAGGCGGUGAUGUAAGACAGGUGUGAAAUCCCCGGGCUUAACCUGGGAACUGCAUUUGUGACUGCAUCGCUGGAGUGCGGCAGAGGGGGAUGGAAUUCCGCGUGUAGCAGUGAAAUGCGUAGAUAUGCGGAGGAACACCGAUGGCGAAGGCAAUCCCCUGGGCCUGCACUGACGCUCAUGCACGAAAGCGUGGGGAGCAAACAGG
rnacentral:rRNA from 1 species